CAUUUUCAUAAUACAUUUAUUUAUUAUAAAUCAAAGUUUUAAUACAUAAAAUGUACAACUUUACAAAUUUAAGAAAUAGUAAUGGAAAAAUAGUGUUUAAAAUAUGAUUUUAUGUUUUUAAUGAGAUUAAAGAAAGAGAAACUUGAGUAGUCAAGUAUUGGACCCAAAUGUCAAAUAAUUUUAAUUGGGGAUUUUUAUAAAAUUAAGAAAGUUUGGCUAAAGGGCUUAUUUGAAAAGAAUUUUAGUAUUUUGGGUCCAAGUGUAAUUUUUAAAAAUAAAUAAAAAAAAAAUAAAUAAAUAAAAUAAAAUAAAAGGCUUCAGCCUUUCAUUUUACCCGAGCCCCUCUCUCUCUCUCCUCAGAAACCCUCUCUCUCUCUCUCCUCAGAAACUCUCUCUCUCUCUCUCUCUCUCUCUCUCCUCUGCGUAUUACUGUUGCCGACGACGCAGGAGUACUUUCCGGCCACCAUUUUUAGCCACGCGCCGGACCGUUGGAUUCAGAGGCCUCCGAACUAUCGACCAACGCGGGAAUCUAGAGCUCACUCGCCGAUUAAACGCCUCAACCACUCGAUUUAAGUUCGGCCACCCCGCGACUUCAAAGUUGCGAUUCGGCCACCUCGGGCAUCCGUUUGCCGAUCCGUCACCACCAUCGUGCUCCUCGUGUUGUGGGCUUCAAAACCCAAUAACUUGUUCCUACAUCUACCAUAGUUGGGUGGUGGGCCCACCACGAGCCACCGCGAUCCACCGUAGAUCGACGGUCGAAACUUAGUGUUCGAGGUUCCGAAGUACGUUUUGAGUCUCAGAAAAUCAUCGUUUGACUUAUUGUGGAACCCGAUCAUUUUGGAUUUGUAUGGAUUUGAUUGAUUGACUCUUGGUGAGGAAUUUUAAAAUAAGCUAAGGACCUAAGGUGUGGCUUUAGCUGUUGAGCAACUUGUGGAGCACGGACUCAGUAGCAAUGCAAUAAUGGUUUUAGAGUUUUCAUAUGGCUGCCUUAAAUUUAAAGUAUUCAUACGUGUAAUAAUUUCUUCUAAUAAGUUUAUAUAAAAGUUUUAAAUUUUUCUGUAUUUCUUCGUAUCAUUUUAUUUAAUUCUUUUGGUCAAGUGCCUUACAUACUCGUAAACCCUAGAAUUACGAGUAUGUGGCAGAUGUACCCUACCUUAGGGACGUUACAAAUGGUAUCAGAGCUUUGAGUUUGUAGAUGUCGUAUACUCGUUAUGUUAUUAGAUUUUGGGAUCUGAAAUGCUACUGAGUUCCGCCACAAGACAAGCCACACGUUAAUGGUUAGUAUAAUUUAUCCAUAUUUUAGUUAAUGUAUGUUAAUGAUGUUGUAUAAUUGUAUUAGAAACUCAUUGUGUGUUUGAGUUUCCAUGAUAUAAGUAUGAGUUUGGAUUAAAUGAAUAUUCUCAUGCACGGUAGAGAAAUUGAAGUUUGUUAUUUAUCUGAAUGCAUGCCUUUAUUAUUGAUGUGAUAAAUAAUUGAUGAUUUAUCGAUGUCGAUGUUUGGAUUGUUAAUUGAUAUUUUCAAGCUUUGAAAGUGAUCUAUCAGUUCAGUUAGUGUGUUAAGGGUUAAUAUGUCAGGUUAGUGUUUUGGAGAGCAGAGUUUUAGGUUGUUGCUGAGAGCACACACAAUAAGAGACUUUAGUGAAACAGUAGUAAUAUAUAGAAAAAAAAAAAAAAAAAUACAUAAUACAUUAAGGAUUGGGGUUUUGGACACGUUCUACCUCGUCAAUCAACUUUUGUUGUUCAACUCUAAGGGUCUCCCCAGUAGUUUGCAGUGUCUGAAAUUUUUCCUUCAUAUCGACUGAGUAGUUAGCAAGAAGUGUAGUUAAAGUUCCAUUCUCCUUAGCCAACUUCUCCUUCUCUCGAGUCAAUGCCUUGUUGGCAUUUCUAAUGGUUAUCAUCUCUUGUUUUUGUGUUUCUAUAUACCUUUUCAAGUGGUCAACCUCUUGUUCUCUUGCAAGAACCCGUUGGCCUAGGUUUGAGACCGAUGCUGCCGCCUGAGUGGUAAGAACUAAGGAAUCUUUUACAGCUUGUAGGUCUGACCUAUGGGAUAAAAUUAUUUGGUCUUUAGGGGUGAGUAUGCUUUGACCUAUACUAAUGGCCACCUUUUUAUCGAGCAUAGCUGAAUCCUCCACCGUGACAAGGCCAGUAUCAGAAUAAAAUUUGGGAAGCCAAACUCUGGGAAAUUGAGUAUUUCGUUCUGGGAUGUGUACCGUAGGAUACACCAUUAGCUGUGGUAGGGGUGCAGAAAUUUGUGGUGAAGAUUCGAUAGUGGGAAGAUUUGGCUCAGGUAAAGCUAAAGUUAGGUCUAAGUUCAGCUGAGAUGAUGAGGAUGCCAUAGGUUGCUUAGCUUGAGUAAUGGACGGAAGUAAUAAUGAUUUGGUUUUCAAAAGCUUGAGAUUGAUUGUGUUUUAGUGUGUAUGUGAUGAAUUUUAUUUAUAGAAAAAUGUGUUGAACUGUUGGGUCAUUGGAUCCUUGAAUUUGUUUGUUUUCAAGAUAGAUAUCACAGAUUUUAUCUUGUUCAAUGUGUUACGCUAUCCUCUCUGAUGAUGAAAGUCAAACUUAUUAGAUGUUGUCGACAUGGAAAUCACUUCUAUUGAUUUUGCGAUCCUGAUUUGAACAUGGAAACAAUUUGUAAAUUGUUGAAUGAAUCGAGGUGAUAAAUGUUAUUUACUGAAUUACUAUGUAGUGUGAAUUACUUUCGGCGAUUAAAUUAUAGUAUAUUAGCUGUUUUAUCCCGAAAGUAAGAUAAUGUAUUACUUGUGUGAAGUGAUGACUGAGUAUUAUUGGUAUAGGUGUUGAAAUGAGACAUGUCUAACUUAUUAGACAUGUGAGAAUUAUUCGUUUUCGUAGAUGAAGUGGUGGAUUGGUCAGUCAAGACUUAUCCCAUGUUUUAUUCAAUGAAGGGAUACUAAGCUAAGUGUGUGAAUUUCCGAGUGGCCACGGUUAUUUGCAUUCUAGCAUAGUAUCAAUAUGCCCUUUAUUAUUUUAUACAUUUGGAAACAAUUUUGAUUUUUAAAUGUUUUCUUAGAGAAAGAAUGAGAGUCAGGCUUUUCUGAACUGGUACCUAAUGAAUGGCCUAUCUCACUAUUUCUCAUUCAGGGCAAGAAGUCGGUUUUGACAACGAAAGGGUUUCACAGAGACUUGGUUUUAAAGAAUAAUCUUCAUCGGCUAUAUAAUUGUUUUCUAGUUAUCCAAUUUUUUUAUGUCGAAAAACUUUCUAUUGAACAAACUUGUUGCUCAAUUUAGCAUCUAUUAUCAAGGUAUAACCAGUCAAUUGCAUCUGCUUAAAAAAAAAAAAAAAAAAAAAAAAAAAUUGACUGUAAGACAUGAAGAUCAAGGAUGUUUUCAUGAUGAUGGUCAUUUUCUCUUCUUACGUUAUGUGGUUUGUGUUCAAAAGUAUGGAUGAUGAGGAUUCGUUUGUAUUUUCGUAUACAUUCAUUGUAAUUUAUACUAUUGUUAUAGCUUAUUUCCUUUCUAUCUAUAUUGUAGUCCUCAUGUGAGGUGUUUACACAUCCUCGCCUUUUUAUAUAUGAUAAGGAUUACAAGAAGUCAGGAAUAAGUUUUGUUUUCGGGGUGAAAGUAAGUGUUGUGUAUAAAAUCUUAUGCUGUGAAAUGUUGUUCUGUUUAUUUGUAAUGGUAGUUAUUGUCUCCGAUUAUCAAAUUUUAGUUUGAAAUUUCGAGGACGAAAUUAUUUUAACGGGGGAAGGAUUGUAAUAUCCAACAUUUUCAUAAUACAUUUAUUUAUUAUAAAUCAAAGUUUUAAUACAUAAAAUGUACAACUUUACAAAUUUAAGAAAUAGUAAUGGAAAAAUAGUGUUUAAAAUAUGAUUUUAUGUUUUUAAUGAGAUUAAAGAAAGAGAAACUUGAGUAGUCAAGUAUUGGACCCAAAUGUCAAAUAAUUUUAAUUGGGGAUUUUUAUAAAAUUAAGAAAGUUUGGCUAAAGGGCUUAUUUGAAAAGAAUUUUAGUAUUUUGGGUCCAAGUGUAAUUUUUAAAAAUAAAUAAAAAAAAAAUAAAUAAAUAAAAUAAAAUAAAAGGCUUCAGCCUUUCAUUUUACCCGAGCCCCUCUCUCUCUCUCCUCAGAAACCCUCUCUCUCUCUCUCCUCAGAAACUCUCUCUCUCUCUCUCUCUCUCUCUCUCCUCUGCGUAUUACUGUUGCCGACGACGCAGGAGUACUUUCCGGCCACCAUUUUUAGCCACGCGCCGGACCGUUGGAUUCAGAGGCCUCCGAACUAUCGACCAACGCGGGAAUCUAGAGCUCACUCGCCGAUUAAACGCCUCAACCACUCGAUUUAAGUUCGGCCACCCCGCGACUUCAAAGUUGCGAUUCGGCCACCUCGGGCAUCCGUUUGCCGAUCCGUCACCACCAUCGUGCUCCUCGUGUUGUGGGCUUCAAAACCCAAUAACUUGUUCCUACAUCUACCAUAGUUGGGUGGUGGGCCCACCACGAGCCACCGCGAUCCACCGUAGAUCGACGGUCGAAACUUAGUGUUCGAGGUUCCGAAGUACGUUUUGAGUCUCAGAAAAUCAUCGUUUGACUUAUUGUGGAACCCGAUCAUUUUGGAUUUGUAUGGAUUUGAUUGAUUGACUCUUGGUGAGGAAUUUUAAAAUAAGCUAAGGACCUAAGGUGUGGCUUUAGCUGUUGAGCAACUUGUGGAGCACGGACUCAGUAGCAAUGCAAUAAUGGUUUUAGAGUUUUCAUAUGGCUGCCUUAAAUUUAAAGUAUUCAUACGUGUAAUAAUUUCUUCUAAUAAGUUUAUAUAAAAGUUUUAAAUUUUUCUGUA